CCCAGACAGCCAGGAUGUUGGCUUAGAAGCAGCCAUCAUUUAAAGAAAGCGUAAUAGCUCACUGGUCGAGUCGGCCUGCGCGGAAGAUGUAACGGGGCUAAACCAUGCACCGAAGCUGCGGCAGCGACGCUCAGGCGUUGUUGGGUAGGGGAGCGUUCUGUAAGCCUGCGAAGGUGUCUUGUGAGGGAUGCUGGAGGUAUCAGAAGUGCGAAUGCUGACAUAAGUAACGAUAAUGCGGGUGAAAAACCCGCACGCCGGAAGACCAAGGGUUCCUGUCCAACGUUAAUCGGGGCAGGGUGAGUCGACCCCUAAGGCGAGGCCGAAAGGCGUAGUCGAUGGGAAACAGGUUAAUAUUCCUGUACUGGGUGUUACUGCGAAGGGGGGACGGAGAAGGCUAUGUUAGCCGGGCGACGGUUGUCCCGGUUUAAGCAUGUAGGCGGAACGAUUAGGUAAAUCCGGUCGUUUAUUAACGCUGAGGUGUGAUGACGAGGCACUACGGUGCUGAAGUAACAAAUGCCCUGCUUCCAGGAAAAGCCUCUAAGCAUCAGGUAACAUCAAAUCGUACCCCAAACCGACACAGGUGGUCAGGUAGAGAAUACCAAGGCGCUUGAGAGAACUCGGGUGAAGGAACUAGG
rnacentral:rRNA from 1 species